GACGAACGCUGGCGGCGUGCUUAACACAUGCAAGUCGAACGGUGACGGAGAGCUUGCUCUCCUGAUCAGUGGCGAACGGGUGAGUAACACGUGGGCAACCUGCCCCAGACUUCGGGAUAACGCUUCGAAAGAGGUGCUAAUACCGGAUACGAACUCCUUGGGCAUCCUUGGAGUUGGAAAGUUUUUCGGUCUGGGAUGGGCCCGCGGCCUAUCAGCUAGUUGGUGAGGUAACGGCUCACCAAGGCGACGACGGGUAGCCGGCCUGAGAGGGCGACCGGCCACACUGGGACUGAGACACGGCCCAGACUCCUACGGGAGGCAGCAGUGGGGAAUAUUGCGCAAUGGGCGAAAGCCUGACGCAGCAACGCCGCGCGAGGGAUGACGGCCUUCGGGUUGUAAACCUCUUUCAGCAGGGAAGAAGCGAAAGUGACGGUACCUGCAGAAGAAGCACCGGCUAACUACGUGCCAGCCGCCGCGGUAACAC
rnacentral:rRNA from 1 species